CCUACGGGAGGCAGCAGUAGGGAAUUUUGCGCAAUGGGCGAAAGCCUGACGCAGCAACGCCGCGUGAUCGAGACGCCCUUCGGGGUGUAAAGACCUGUCAGUGGGGACGAAACUUGACGGUACCCACAGAGGAAGCACCGUCUAACUCCGUGCCAGCAGCCGUGGUAACACGGGGGGUGCAAGCGUUGUCCGGAAUAAUGGGGCGUAAAGCGUUCGUAGGCGGAACGUAAAGUCUGGUGGUAAAGGCAGAGGGACAAGUUCUGUACGGCACUGGAUACUUGCGAGCUAGAGUGCGGUAGAGGUAAGGGGAAUGCGUGGUGUAGCGGUGAAAUGCUUAGAUAUCAGGAAGAACAUCGAUGGCGAAGGCACUUUACUGGGCCGUAAUUGACGCUGAGGAACGAAAGCCAGGGUAGCAAAUGGGAUUAGAUACCCGAGUAGUC
rnacentral:rRNA from 1 species